AGAGAGAGGACAAGCUGAGAGCAAAUAUCUCCCAUGUGAAGCUGGGUCUUUGCUCAUGCAAGGCCUAGUCCUGCAAGGUCCUGAGUGCUUUCAACUCCCAGGAUUCUGGAUGGCUAAAACCUCUCAUUGACUGUUGCAGGAUUGAGCUCACAGAGGUUAUAAUAGCCAGAUACAGCACCCUGGGAAGGAAGAGGAGAAAAAUGAGCAAUACAGAAUGCCGAAUCCUGGACUGAACUCAGCUGAAUGCAGAAGGGAUGGAAGAAACAAGAGUCUUUAUUGCAAAGGUACAACCAUAUCUGUAUAGUCCCUGCCCUGGUCAUCCCUUUCAGAAGGGCUGUUAAUCAUCACAGCUUGAAAACCUGCUUAAUACAGCAGUUCUGCAAUGAAGAUACAGCAUUAGCCAAUGGCCCGUGGUCUUUGAAUGAAUAUAUUGCUGCGUCCAUAGCAUUUACUGAUGACACAGCCCAUGCUGGGCUGCAGUGAGAGGAGAGAGAGAGAGACUUGUCAUUUCUUCACAUCCAAAUUCAGAAUCCAGAGAGACGAAGUCUAAAAUUAGAGCACACCACAGACAGCAGCAUCUGAGUAAAUUAAAUUAAUGUCGCUCCAGCAAUGGCCCCGGGGGAGGCUGCAGAU